rnacentral:rRNA from 1 species
UACGAGGGGGGCAAGCGUUGUUCGGAAUUAUUGGGCGUAAAGGGCGCGUAGGCGGUGCGGUAAGUCACCUGUGAAACCUCUAGGCUUAACCUAGAGCCUGCAGGCGAAACUGCCGUGCUUGAGGGUGGGAGAGGUGCGUGGAAUUCCUGGUGUAGCGGUGAAAUGCGUAGAUAUCAGGAGGAACACCUGCGGUGUAGACGGCUUACUGGACCAUAACUGACGCUGAGGCACGAAAGCGUGGGUAGCAAACAGG